CCGUCAGACAGGAGGCAGGAGCAGAAAUCCAGGCAGCACCAUUCUAGUGGAAGCCUCGGGACCUGUGGUCAGUGGCAGAAGAUGGUGGUGUCUCCCAUGGCAGAGAGGAAUAAGGAGCUGAUCCUGGAGCAUCUCUGCCUACAUCAGAGCCAUCAAGGUGCAGAACGUGAAGACGCCGCUGGCCAUUGAUGUUUCUCAGCCCUGGGACCAGUGGGCAGGCUUGAGCAAGGGCUGCUGCAAUGUCAUCGUCAUCAUCCAUCUGCUGCACUUCCUUGCCCAAGGCCUGGAGGUGUGCAUGUGUGGACAAACUAAGCCCUGCAGGGAACAUAGGGGCACCACAGCAAGCAACCCUUUGUGGGAAAGACAUCCUUCCUCCCACUGGCGGAAGGAGCCUGUGGCCCUUUCAGGCCUGCACCCCGCACCACCCCAAGGGAUUACUGCUUGGGAGGAGCAGUACUGGCACCUUGUCCUGGGCUCAGCCCCCCAGUGCCCACCUGGAUGACAUCCUGCCUUUGCAUUGCAGGGACUAUUCCAGGGUGUGGGCCAGCUGCUGAAGCCUGGGGAGUGUGCCUGAUCUAUGGGCCCUUUGCCAUCAAUGGGAUCAUCAGCCCUGAAUGCAACAUCCGGAGCUGGAGGAGAAGCUCCAGGAGAGGUGACGUGUGCCCCAGGAGCUGAAUUCUUCCCAGGGGCUCCAGCAAUUCUGCAUUGUGGAAUCCAGGCUGGGGGCUGUGGAGGAGCUGCGGCAGCUGGCCACCCCCAACGCGCUGCACCUCGAGCAUAUGGC